AGAGUUUGAUCAUGGCUCAGAUUGAACGCUGGCGGCAGGCCUAACACAUGCAAGUCGAGCGGUAGCACAAGAGAGCUUGCUCUCUGGGUGACGAGCGGCGGACGGGUGAGUAAUGUCUGGGAAACUGCCUGAUGGAGGGGGAUAACUACUGGAAACGGUAGCUAAUACCGCAUAACGUCUUCGGACCAAAGUGGGGGACCUUCGGGCCUCACGCCAUCAGAUGUGCCCAGAUGGGAUUAGCUAGUAGGUGGGGUAAUGGCUCACCUAGGCGACGAUCCCUAGCUGGUCUGAGAGGAUGACCAGCCACACUGGAACUGAGACGCGGUCCAGACUCCUACGGGAGGCAGCAGUGGGGAAUAUUGCACAAUGGGCGCAAGCCUGAUGCAGCCAUGCCGCGUGUGUGAAGAAGGCCUUCGGGUUGUAAAGCACUUUCAGCGAGGAGGAAGGGUAGUGUGUUAAUAGCACAUUGCAUUGACGUUACUCGCAGAAGAAGCACCGGCUAACUCCGUGCCAGCAGCCGCGGUAAUACGGAGGGUGCAAGCGUUAAUCGGAAUUACUGGGCGUAAAGCGCACGCAGGCGGUUUGUUAAGUCAGAUGUGAAAUCCCCGCGCUUAACGUGGGAACUGCAUUUGAAACUGGCAAGCUAGAGUCUUGUAGAGGGGGGUAGAAUUCCAGGUGUAGCGGUGAAAUGCGUAGAGAUCUGGAGGAAUACCGGUGGCGAAGGCGGCCCCCUGGACAAAGACUGACGCUCAGGUGCGAAAGCGUGGGGAGCAAACAGGAUUAGAUACCCCGGUAGUCCAA
rnacentral:rRNA from 1 species